rnacentral:rRNA from 1 species
GAUGAACGCUGGCGGCGUGCCUAAUACAUGCAAGUCGAGCGAACAGACGAGGAGCUUGCUCCUCUGACGUUAGCGGCGGACGGGUGAGUAACACGUGGAUAACCUACCUAUAAGACUGGGAUAACUUCGGGAAACCGGAGCUAAUACCGGAUAAUAUAUUGAACCGCAUGGUUCAAUAGUGAAAGACGGUUUUGCUGUCACUUAUAGAUGGAUCCGCGCCGCAUUAGCUAGUUGGUAAGGUAACGGCUUACCAAGGCAACGAUGCGUAGCCGACCUGAGAGGGUGAUCGGCCACACUGGAACUGAGACACGGUCCAGACCCCUACGGGAGGCAGCAGUAGGAAAUCUUCCGCAAUGGGCGAAAGCCUGACGGAGCAACGCCGCGUGAGUGAUGAAGGCCUUCGGAUCGUAAAACGCUGUUAUUAGGGAAGAACAAAUGUGUAAGUAACUAUGCACGUCUUGACGGUACCUAAUCAGAAAGCCACGGCUAACUACGU